CCAAUUCCAACUUAAGUCACAGAGAAAAGGAACAUGGUACCGGAUGGUCUACUGUACGCCGUAAACGUCAAGGAAAGCAUCCGUCUCGCAAGACGUCCUCGUUAGAUCGCAUAUCCGUGUCGAAAGGAGAUUCUUCCAUCAGAACUACAGCCAUGGAGUUGGAUCUUAGAUCGCCGCGAUCUCGUCGGAAACACCGCCAUAUCUAGGAUAGAAGCUGUGAAAUACCCAGCCUCCCGUUGGACUACUUCUAAGUGAAUAUUUGUACUGUUGUUAUAUAUUUAACAUUUUAUUUGUUUUCGAUAAUGGAAUAGUGAUAUCAGAUAGACAUCAGACGGGGAGUGUUCUGUU
rnacentral:lncRNA from 1 species